rnacentral:rRNA from 1 species
CCUACGGGGGGCAGCAGUAGGGAAUAUUGGACAAUGGAGGAAACUCUGAUCCAGCCAUGCCGCGUGAUAGAUGAAGGCCCUCUGGGUUGUAAAUAUCUUUUAUCUGGGAAGAAACAAUCUUAUUCUUAAGAUCUUGACGGUACCAGAGGAAUAAGCACCGGCUAACUCCGUGCCAGCAGCCGCGGUAAUACGGAGGUUGCAAGCGUUAUCCGGAUUCAAGGGGUUUAAGGGGUGCUGAGACGGCAUUGGUGAAAGCUGCGAGCUUAACUUGGAAACUGCCGUUGAUACUGCCAGUCUUGAAUGUCGUAGAGGUAAGCGGAAUGUUGCAUGUAGCGGUGAAAUGCUUAGAUAUGUUACAGAACACCAAUUGCGAAGGCAGCUUACUAUGCGAUGAUUGACGCUGAGGCACGAAAGCGUGGGGAGCAAACAGGAUUAGAUACCCCAGUAGUC